rnacentral:rRNA from 2 species
AGUUUGAUCCUGGCUCAGGAUGAACGCUAGCGGCAGGCCUAAUACAUGCAAGUCGAACGGGAUUGGGAGCUUGCUUCCAUGAGAGUGGCGUACGGGUGCGUAACGCGUAUGCAACCUACCUCCAUCAGGGGUAUAGCCCGGAGAAAUCCGGAUUAACACCGCAUGAAGACAUAUUGUCGCAUGGCAGAAUGUCCAAAUAUUUAUAGGAUGGAGAUGGGCAUGCGUGCCAUUAGCUAGUUGGCGGGGUAAUGGCCCACCAAGGCGACGAUGGCUAGGGGAUCUGAGAGGAUGGCCCCCCACACUGGUACUGAGACACGGACCAGACUCCUACGGGAGGCAGCAGUAAGGAAUAUUGGUCAAUGGGGGCAACCCUGAACCAGCCAUGCCGCGUGCAGGAAGACAGCCCUACGGGUCGUAAACUGCUUUUAUACGGGAAUAACUCUCCUCUCGUGAGAGGAGCUGAAGGUACCGUAAGAAUAAGGAUCGGCUAACUCCGUGCCAGCAGCCGCGGUAAUACGGAGGAUCCAAGCGUUAUCCGGAUUUAUUGGGUUUAAAGGGAGCGUAGGCGGCCCGUUAAGUCAGGGGUGAAAGACGGUGGCUCAACCAUCGCAGUGCCCUUGAUACUGGCGGGCUUGAAUGUAGUUGAGGUGGGCGGAAUGUGACAAGUAGCGGUGAAAUGCAUAGAUAUGUCACAGAACGCCGAUUGCGAAGGCAGCUCACCAAGCUAUUAUUGACGCUGAGGCUCGAAAGCGUGGGGAUCAAACAGGAUUAGAUACCCUGGUAGUCCACGCCCUAAACGAUGAUGACUCGAUGUUGGCGAUAUACAGUCAGCGUCCAAGCGAAAGCGUUAAGUCAUCCACCUGGGGAGUACGCCCGCAAGGGUGAAACUCAAAGGAAUUGACGGGGGCCCGCACAAGCGGAGGAGCAUGUGGUUUAAUUCGAUGAUACGCGAGGAACCUUACCCGGGCUUGAAAGUUACUGAAGGUACCAGAGACGGUACCGUCCUUCGGGACAGGAAACUAGGUGCUGCAUGGCUGUCGUCAGUCGUG